ensembl:lncRNA
AAUGGGGUGGAAGGACGGAGGGACGGCGCGCAGACGGACACAGGCUGCGGUUCGGCCCCGGCCCGGGGGGGGCUCCCGAUUCAGCGAGGGACCGUGAGGAGCGCUGCGACCCCCCCCAAAUCGGGGACCCCCCCCAAAUCGGGGACCCCCCCCAAAUUGGGGACUCCCUACCCUUAUAAACCCCCCCCCCUUUUGGGACCCCCCCAAAUUGGGGACCCCCCCACCCUUAAAGACCCCCCCCCAUAUUGGGGACCCCCCCACCCUUAAACCGACCCCCCCCGUAUUGGGGACCCCCCCCUUAUUGGGUACCCCCCCCAAAUCGAAUUGGGGACCCCCUACCCUUAAACCGACCCCCCCCAUAUUGGGGACCCCCUCCAAAUUGGGGACCCCCCACCCUUAAAGACCCCC